GACUUACAUUGACAAUUGCAUCCAAAAUUUUGUAUCAAGUGGAUACACAGAUUAGAUGUUACAACUUGUUAAAGCUUAUUGAUUAGAAUAGGGGCUUAUAAGAAAAAUCUAAAUUGUUUAAAUAUGAAAGUAACAAGGUAAUUGAGAUUUGUGUAUGAUUAAGACUACUAAGAAGAGUAUUUUUUUAGCACUUUUGGAUUGAAAUUAAAUUUAUAUUCUUCUCAUAUGUAUGAAAUCUAUAAGUGUUUCAUUGAUACUUGUGAAACACAACCUCACCUUCCACAACUAGGUGCCUAGUGCAUUCCUAAACAAGACAACACACAAUACAACAACGCAAUCUUUUAUUCAUCUUCUACUUUAAUACAUACUAAAUUAUAUGCUCCUUUUAGAUUUAUUUUUGUGUAGAUCUUAGGUUGUUUCAAUUAAUCGAG
rnacentral:lncRNA from 1 species